CUUACAUAAAAAAAAAAUAAUAAUAACCAAAAAAAUCUAGGUUAUACAAAGAAACAUUACGACUAAUUGAAAAUAUAAAUAUACUUCGUCAAAUAAUAGGCUGUGACAAAUUACAGACAAUUUAAGUAUACUACUUGCUGAUGCGUCAAAUAACGUAUACGAACUGUUUGUAUAAAAGAGCAGUGGAUUAUUCUGUCAAGGCAACACGCGUCAAAAUCUAAAAUUGCGCUUUUAAAGUUUGUAUUGUUAGCUAGACUUAUGUUGUGUGUCCCUGGAUUACUUCUUAGUCGUUUAGUUGAAAGGCUAGUGCCGAAGCUAAAUAUUACAAUAAGUAAAAUAUAUUUUUGGUUCAAUUCAACAGGCUUUAUUUAUUCAUUAUUUACGGAGAAAUUUUUUUUCCAAAUUAUAAAUAACAGUUUUAUGAUUAAUAAUAUUCGAUUUUACACAUUUAUAAAUUAACAGUAAUUAAACUUAGUAAAGUUAUUAGUUAAGACAUAAUCGCAAAACAAAUACUUCGCGAAAAUGAGAAAAAAUGUUUGGCACUCCGUGAGCAGUUAAAAACUCUGGUGAAAAUUAUUGCUGCUAUUUGCGUGAAUCGUUCAUUAAUUGGUCAUAUUUCAUAUGACCAAUUAGCACACAUGAAAUAAUGGUCCACUUACCAUUUGCAUAAUAGUUAGCACAUUGUAAAACCAGUUCAAAUGUUAUUUUUCUCAAAAGUAAAUUUGCCAAAUAGUUUGUAGAAGGGAAUGGAAAACCAAUGCACUUAAAAUGUUUACAGGAUACAUCAGUAUCAUUACCAAUCACAAUUGAUUGGUGUUAAGCAACCUGAAGACCUAUACUACGUAAUCCAAAGAUCGGCGCACAAUUACUAAAAAAACGCAGUCCAAAAAGGCGUUCAAUUAUGUAGUACGUAAUCAAAGACAAGGCGCACAAUUACUUAAAAACGCAGUCCAAAAAGGCGUUCAAUUAUGUAGUACGUAAUCAAAGACAAGGCACACAAUUACUUAAAAAAAAACGCAGUCCAAAAAGGCGUUCAAUUAUGUAGUACGUAAUCAAAGACAAGGCGCACAAUUACUUAAAAAACGCAGUCCAAAAAGGCGAGAAAAAGAAGACGAGCAGAAAGAAAUAAUGCACCAGUUCGGGUGAACGUCGAAAACGGAACAGGACGCAAUAUCGGUAAUCCAUAUUCGGCGGCGGCCUUAUCUCAGUGUCAAGGACGGGGAGACGACCGAUGACAACCGAUUGUCAUAUUAAUAGCUGGACGGCUGAUAUCGAGAGAGACACGGGUGAGCGCCAGCCUAGAGCAAAAGGCGGUGCCGUGUCACCUAUCUUAGACUGUUAUAAUUAAAACACGAUUUCAGAAUUAAAAUAUUAAAUUGAUUGAAUGUUGGAUUAAGAAACUCCCUAAAGCGGCAUCACAUUUUAGAAAAUUGCAAUUUUCAGAUAUUUAUCUUUACACUAUAUUUGUGCUAAAUUUUAUGUUUAUACCUAUAUAAGAAGUGUCUUAUAAUAAUAAUGUAAAGGAUCAAUUUUUUUUACAGCGUUCUAAGCUACUAGAACUUUAUCUAUACCUAAAAUUUGAAGAGUUUAAGUAGAAAAAAGAUACAUGUAUUUGAAAAACCAAGUUAUUUGUUUUGUGUAAAGAUAGAUAUGCUUGCAUUGUUAAACUUAGGACUCAAAUAAUUUGGAAAUAUAUAUGACUACAUUAUAA